rnacentral:rRNA from 1 species
UUAUUGGAGAGUUUGAUCCUGGCUCAGGACGAACGCUGGCGGCAUGCCUAAUACAUGCAAGUCGAGCGGACUUGAGG